GCUGGGCACAGUGGUGCAUGCCUGUAAUCCCAGUUGCUGGGGAAGCUGAGACAGGAGGAUUUUGAGUUCAAAGCCAGCCUCAGCAACAGCGAGGCACUAAGCAACUCAGUGAGACUCUGUCUCUA
rnacentral:sRNA from 1 species